UACGAAGGGUGCAAGCGUUACUCGGAAUUACUGGGCGUAAAGCGUGCGUAGGCGGUUUGUUAAGUCUGCUGUGAAAGCCCCGGGCUCAACCUGGGAACGGCAGUGGGUACUGGCAAGCUAGAGUGUGUCAGAGGAUGGUGGAAUUCCCGGUGUAGCGGUGAAAUGCGUAGAGAUGUGGAGGAACAUCAGUGGCGAAGGCGGCCAUCUGGGACAACACUGACGCUGAGGCACGAAAGCGUGGGUAGCAAACAGG
rnacentral:rRNA from 1 species